CUCAAUUAAACUAGUUAAAGCAAUAAUAAAGCAAAACCUUUAUGGACUUAAGGAAGAGAGUUUCAUUUAUCUGAAAUAAUCAUUUAUAUAGAGAAGUGAAUUCUCAGAUAAUUUCUUCAUUCAAUGAGUCAGGGAUGGGCACAGUCUGGCCUGUGGGCCGAACUGGGCCAUGCAUUCAUCAUACAUUGCUUUUGGCUGCUUUUGGGCUACAAUGCAGAGUAGCAGAAUAGUUGAGUAGUUGCAACAAGACUAUAUGGUCCGCUAGCCUGAAAUAUUUGCUAUUUGGCCCUUUACAGAAAGAGUUUGCUGACCCCUGCAUUAGAUAAUUAUUGUGCAUCUCCAAUGUGCCUGCUACUUUGCUCCAAAUGUGCCACAAGCCAACUUGAUGCCCACCUCUCUGGAGCCCUAACAGUCAGAGGCAUCACAGCAUCUUCUAAAGCGGACAUUCACGAAAAGUCGCCCUGUGGACUUGGGGAGAGGAGAGCGUCUGACUUGUUGGCACACUUUGCCGAUGCAGCAGUGAAGAAUCGUUUGCCUGAACUGAUAAAGAAGAAAAAGCCAAUAUUCUUUUGCUUCAUGGUGAGGCAGAGAGGAAGAGUGAGUAAAGUA
rnacentral:lncRNA from 1 species